rnacentral:lncRNA from 1 species
UAAUAUUCACUUUUAAUUUAAUUCCUUUUAAGAAAAAACAAACAAAGAAACUAUUUAGAAAGACGUAAGGUAAACUUCAAAUACCACUUAUGUGGUUUCGUACUUUCUCAUUUUAGUAUUCUGUCGUUUAAAGUGUCCUACGGUUCCAUUUUUAUCUUUUCUUUAGCUUGUUCGUUAAUAUUUCGUUAAAUUACAUACAAAAAAAACUUCAGAUACUCCAUUUACGUACGCUUAUCGAAUAUUUAUUUUAGUACUCUUUAGUUUUUAACUUUGCCACUGAUUUAACGAAAAAAUUAAUAAAAUUGAUAAUAAAAAGAUAAAAAUAAAACCACAUGACAGUAAAUCGAUACACUUGAAACCGCAAGAUACGAAAGUGAUAAAAUAAAGUGAUAAAGUGUGAAACCAUAAUAAUGAUAUUUGAAGUUUUUUCAAUAUGUAAAACUGAAGUAUAAUAGUAAAUCGAGGG